rnacentral:rRNA from 1 species
UACGUAGGUGGCAAGCGUUAUCCGGAUUUAUUGGGCGUAAAGGGAACGCAGGCGGUCUUUUAAGUCUGAUGUGAAAGCCUUCGGCUUAACCGGAGUAGUGCAUUGGAAACUGGGAGACUUGAGUGCAGAAGAGGAGAGUGGAACUCCAUGUGUAGCGGUGAAAUGCGUAGAUAUAUGGAAGAGCACCAGUGGCGAAAGCGGCCGCCUGGCCUGUUGGUACUGACGCUGAGGCUCGAAAGCGUGGGGAGCAAACAGG